rnacentral:rRNA from 1 species
UACGUAGGGUGCGAGCGUUAAUCGGAAUUACUGGGCGUAAAGCGUGCGCAGGCGGUUUUGUAAGCCAGAUGUGAAAUCCCCGGGCUUAACCUGGGAAUGGCAUUUGGGACUGCAAGGCUGGAGUACGGCAGAGGAGACUGGAAUUCCUGGUGUAGCAGUGAAAUGCGUAGAGAUCAGGAGGAACACCAGUGGCGAAGGCGGCUCGCUGGGCUCUACCUGACGCUGAGGCGCGAAAGCGUGGGGAGCGAACCGG